rnacentral:miRNA from 1 species
CGCAAUUCGCCUCUCGGGUGCA